GGCCUGCGCGGAAGAUGUAACGGGGCUAAACCAUGCACCGAAGCUGCGGCAGCGAACGUAUCACUUAAAGCGAUUCAGCGGGUUACGAUUGACGGAGCGAAGCGACGUCAAAGCGUAUACAAAGUCGAGUCGGUUUAAGGAUACGUUCGUUGGGUAGGGGAGCGUUCUGUAAGCCUGUGAAGGUGGCCUGUGAGGGUUGCUGG
rnacentral:rRNA from 4 species